rnacentral:tRNA from 1 species
GGAAAGGUGGCCGAGUGGUUUAAGGCGCACGCUUGGAAAGCGUGUGAACUCGCAAGGGUUCCGCAAGUUCGAAUCUUGUCCUUUCCGCCA